GCCGAAGGAUUUAACUGAGUGUUUUCUGUCGACCGCUCGACGGUCAGGUUUUUUUCACCCCCUGUGUCACGUCAGGAUGGCGAGCUACCGGAUCACCGCAGCUUCGCGGUAGGAUUUACAUGAACCAAGUUACUUUCUCAUUCUGAACUUAUUUGCUUUGGGUUAUGGACAAGAAAAACCCUACAACAAUCAGACAUUGAUUGAUGAACCGUUGAAUCACUCUAGAUUCAUGAAUGGACUAAAAAGGAAACUCUUGGGUGACAUAAGGGUUUAUUGUUUUUGUUGCUGAGUUGUUUGUCUUUUUUUUUUU